GACAGAGGGUGCAAACGUUGUUCGGAAUUACUGGGCGUAAAGCGCGUGUAGGCGGCCAUCUAAGUCGGGCGUGAAAUCCCACGGCUCAACCGUGGAAGUGCACUCGAAACUGGAUGGCUAGGGUCCUGGAGAGGAAGGUGGAAUGCUUGGUGUAGAGGUGAAAUUCGUAGAUAUCAAGCGGAACACCGGUGGCGAAGGCGGCGACCUGGACAGUAACUGACGCUGAGACGCGAAAGCGUGGGUAGCAAACAGG
rnacentral:rRNA from 1 species